GAAAUGCAAUAAGUAGUGUGAAUUGCAGAAUUUAGUGAAUCAUCAAAUCUUUAAACGCACAUUGCGCCCCUUAGUAUUCUAUGGGGCAUGCCUGUUCGAGCGUCAUUAACACCCUUAAGCUCUGCUUAGUGUUGGGGCCGUUGUCGUUUCCCCACCCCUCCUAGCGACACAGCGACACCCCUUAAAGUUAUUAGCGGCCUUUCUGCCCGGCUCCCCGCACAGCAGUUAGCGCUUCGGAGAUCCCUAGGCAGGCUAGCAUCUAUUAAGCUAACCCCUUUUACGCUUAACCUCAGAUUAGGUAGGGACACCCGCUGAACUUAA
rnacentral:misc_RNA from 1 species